GACGAACGCUGGCGGCGUGCCUAAUACAUGCAAGUCGAACGAACCGCGACUAGGUGCUUGCACUUGGUCAAGGUGAGUGGCGAACGGGUGAGUAACACGUGGGUAACCUACCUCAUAGUGGGGGAUAACAGUCGGAAACGACUGCUAAUACCGCAUAGGACAUAGGAUCACAUGAUUCUGUGAGGAAAGGUGGCGCAAGCUAUCGCUAAGAGAUGGACCCGCGGUGCAUUAGCUAGUUGGUAGGGUAAAGGCCUACCAAGGCGAUGAUGCAUAGCCGACCUGAGAGGGUGAUCGGCCACAUUGGGACUGAGACACGGCCCAAACUCCUACGAGAGGCAGCAGUAGGGAAUCUUCCGCAAUGGACGCAAGUCUGACGGAGCAACGCCGCGUGAGUGAAGAAGGUCUUCGGAUCGUAAAGCUCUGUUGUUAGAGAAGAACAGCGCAUAGAGUAACUGUUAUGCGUGUGACGGUAUCUAACCAGAAAGCCACGGCUAACUACGUG
rnacentral:rRNA from 1 species